CAAUAGCGUAUAUUAAAGUUGUUGCAGUUAAAAAGCUCGUAGUUGGAUUUCUGGUGGGAGCGAUCGGUCUGGCGCUUAGCGCGAGUACUUGCAUCAUCUCCGGCCAUCCUUGGGGAGAGUCUGUCUGGCAUUAAGUUGUCGGGCAGAGGAUCCUCAUCGUUUACUGUGAAAAAAUUAGAGUGUUCAAAGCAGGCUUAUGCCGUUGAAUAUAUUAGCAUGGAAUAAUAAGAUAGGACUUUGGUACUAUUUUGUUGGUUUGCGCACCAAAGUAAUGAUUAAUAGGGACAGUUGGGGGUAUUCGUAUUCCGUUGUCAGAGGUGAAAUUCUUGGAUUUACGGAAGACGAACUACUGCGAAAGCAUUUACCAAGGAUGUUUUCAUUAA
rnacentral:rRNA from 1 species